GCCAGCAGCCAUAUCACUCUGCAACUCACAACUGGCAACCCACUGAAGCUAAGCAGGUGUGAGCCUGGUCAGUACCUGGAUAGGAGACCUCCUGGGAAAAACUAAGGUUGCUGCUGGAA
ensembl:rRNA 5S_rRNA 5S ribosomal RNA